rnacentral:rRNA from 1 species
GAACCGAGCGAACGUUGUUCGGAAUCACUGGGCUUAAAGGGCGCGUAGGCGGGCGGUCACGUCCGGGGUGAAAUCCCACGGCUCAACCGUGGAACGGCCUCGGAUACGGGCGGCCUCGAGGGGGGUAGGGGCAUGCGGAACUGUGAGUGGAGCGGUGAAAUGCGUUGAUAUUCACAGGAACUCCGGUGGCGAAGGCGGCGUGCUGGACCCCACCUGACGCUGAGGCGCGAAAGCCAGGGGAGCAAACGGGAUUAGAUACCCCGGUAGUCCUGGCCCUAAACGAUGGGUACUAGGUAGUCGGCCGGACAUGGGCUGACUGCCGGAGCCAAAGUGCUAAGUACCCCGCCUGGGGAGUAUGGUCGCAAGGCUG